CGCCCCCUGUCCCGGGGGAGGGCUCCGCACCCCCGCCCUCCUCCCCGCGGGGAGGGGAGGGAAGGCAAGGAAUAAUAAUAUUUGUCCUUUACUGCGUGUGAUAUAGGCACUGUUCUAAACUCUUCAUAUGAAUUAACUCCUCACUGCAGGCCUAUGAGAGGUGGGUACAAUUGUUGCUAUUAUUUUACAGAUGAUGAAAUUGAGACAAAAAAGUUAAGUAACUGACACAACCCAGGAUGGAACCUACAGAACUAGGUUUUAAACCCAGACUGUUUCCAUUGUGCUUCUCAUCACCCAAGCUGGUUGUCAGUUUAACUGUCCAUAAAAUGAAGAGUCAUCAUUCAUUAAUUCACCAUCUUUUGUCUUCAGGAUGUCCCCUAUAUGACCAAGUCUGGGGCUAUGCUUUUUCCUCUGGAACUCCAGUAAAGUGAAAUCUGUUGAGAUCUGCUUAGGAAAAGCAUUCCCAAAUCAGAUUACUCUCUUGGAAGCUAGCCUCAAACUGUCAGCAUAUGCAUUGUAAAUGUUAACCAGGACAGACACAUCCAACCUCACCAGAUUCAGAAAGAAGCAAGAUGGUUAAAAGUGAUUUGGAUUCUCUGAUGUUGAAAUGGGUAGAAACCAGGAGAUGAAGUGGGAAGAGAUAAGGUGGUAGAAGCUGAGAGAAAAUAAAUGUAACUUAUGUGCACAGGGAGCGAUCAAUCUGACAGAGCAAAGAAUGAGGAUCAAGGUCGUGCCGAAAAGAACUGAAUCGUGUGCACGUGUUACAAGAGAACUAGGAAAGGAGCAUAAAUGAGAAAAUCGAGUACAUAAUGAAGAGGGGUGGUGGGGUGUCAGGUUGGGUUUGUUCAGCAAGUGGGGCUUCAGAUGAAUUAAAUACAAUUUUAGGCUGGAUUAAUAGAAAUACAGCAUCUGGAACGAGGAGAGAAAGAGCUCCACUUCAUUCUAUGUUAGACCUCAUCUAGGUAACAUGUUCACUUUUAGAGGGAUGUAGUAAAGAGAGCAACCAACCAAGAGGGUGAGGAGACUUGAAAUCCAGGCUUAGAACCAAUACAGUAUUGUAAAGCAAAAAAAAAAAAGAAAGAAAUCCAAGCUUAGGAGGAAGAGUUAAAGAAUUCAUAAGUGAUGGUAGAGCCAUCUUGAAAUACCUGAAGAGCUAUUGUGUGAAAAAAAGAAUUGAGACUUGUCCUGGGAGGUUCUAAGAUUCUAAAACUGAUGAUUUAGGAGCUUCAGAGACACACACUGUAGCUCAGAAUAUGGAAGAAGUCACGCAAAUAUGAAAUAGAUUGUCUUAGAAUGUAACAAGCUCCACAUCCAUCACUAGAAGUAUUCAAAAUAUAUGUGGAGGCUGGACCGUAUAAUAUUGAGGUGUGUUUCGUCCUGGCUGCCAUUCACCUGGUCACUGUAAAAAAAGGGAGAAAAAGAUAUUACAUACUUCAGUAGUUUGUUGAAAAACACUUAGCACAUAGUGAUGUGAAAGCACUCACUAAAAGUCAG
ensembl:lncRNA